rnacentral:lncRNA from 1 species
CUUGAACCUCUUUCACCGGAGUUGGCUCUAUGUAAUAAUCCCCAUUAUCCUCCCCGAAUACCUCUUCAAGUCUAGAUUUCUUCAAACCCGCCAGAACCUUGAGCUCUUCAAUCUGUUCUUGAGCUUUGUCGAGUUGAUCUGUGAUGUAACCAUUGGUCGAACGGGCGCACAAAAGCUCAUUGUUCUUCUCCUUCAGCAGAGUCUUCAACUUCUCCAUCUGACCAGUCAAU